rnacentral:rRNA from 1 species
GACGUAGGGGGCGAACGUUAUCCGGAAUCAUUGGGCGUAAAGGGUGCGUAGGUGGCCUGCUAAGUUAGUAGUGGGAAAUCGAGGCUCAACCUCGUGGAAGCUGGUAAUACUGUUUUGCUUGAGUGCAGGAGAGGUUAACGGAACUCCAUGUGGAGCGGUAAAAUGCAUAGAUAUAUGGAAGAACAUCAAUAACGGCGAAGGCAGUUAACUAUUCUGCUACUGACAUUGAGGCACGAAAGCGUGGGGAGCAAAACGG